rnacentral:lncRNA from 1 species
AGACGAGAGAGGGAGAAUGUGAGAGAUGGAGAGAAAGAAGAGAAAGAGAGACGUGAGAGAGGGAGAACGUGAGAGAUGGAGAACGAGAGAGGGAGAACGAGAGAGAAGAUGGAAGAAAAUAAGAAAAAUAAAUCUGGGAGAAACGUGUAGAAAUUAUGGAUUUAAGUUGAGGGCAAAUUUGGGAUAAAAAAAAGGUAAAGGAUGUGGG